UCCGAGCAUCACCCAUAGACGUACCUAUCUACCCCUUGCAACCCUUCUACAACCCUUCCAGACCCUUAUAACAAAAAAACCACGUCAUAUUCAAAUCACUCGCCAACCCCUAAACAUCCCUUAUUCCUGUUGCCUUAAUUCUAUCAUUUACAAUAGUUUCGCGUGUUUCGAAGUGUUUUUAGUUCUUAAUUGUGAAUAUUAAAUUAAAUUGUGCCGAAAUCCUUAUCAAGCGUUUAUCCUUUUUUUAUCUGACGCGAAUAAUCGAAAAAAUAGUUUAAUACGUUCUAUGCCAGCGCGCGCGCGUGUCUAUCAAACGGAUUUUAGGCCUAAAUUCACGGCAAACGCGCGAAUUCGCGAAAUUUUUGCAAACGUUUUGUACUGUAAUUUCUAAUAAGAUUUCAAUAGGCCUGUCAAAGUGACUUUAUUUUUAUUAUCCACGGACUCCGGUAUAUAUGAUUAGAGUGUAUUUUUGUAAAAAAACGACUUAUACUUUCUUUUUAUAGACAUUUUAUUGAGUGACUGUGUUUAGCGUGGAACGGUUUUAGAGAAGGUUCUGUGAAAAUUACAGUUUUGGAUUAUUUCUGGAUUUUAUUUACAUAUUGAUGCUGCCGAAAAUGGAGUCCAUGGCUGGGUAUGGUUGUGGAUGACGAGCAGAGCAGCAAAAGUUGUAGG